AGGUUUUAGGGAAAACCAAUGUAAAUUUUGUUAUAUUUAGGGUUUUAAGCAAAGUAAGAAUGGGUUGCAACCAAUCGAAGAUCGAGAACGAGGAAGCAGUGGCGCGAUGGAAGGAGAGGAAGCUGUAAAUGAAGAAGUCGGUGUCCUCCCGCAACGCAUUCGCCGCCGCCCACUCGUCCUACGACACCUGCCUGAAGAACAUCGGCGCCGCCCUCGGAGACAAGGACGUUCUGCCGCCACCCUGCUGCCGCCCCCCGUGUCACGUGUCGUCGGGCGCGGUGUGCGCGGAGAUUGGGGAACGAGCUGUACAGAAGCGGCAGCUUCGCGGAGGCGCUGGCGCUGUACGAUCGCGCCAUCGCCAUCUCGCCGGGGAACGCUGCGUGCCGGAGCAACCGCGCGGCGGCGCUCACGGCGGUCGGGAGGCUCAGCGAGGCCGUGAGGGAGUGCCUUGAGGCUGUGAAGUUGGACCCUGCUUAAGAGACUUGCUUCACUUUAUCUUAGGUUUGGACAGGUUAAAAAUUCGCGGCGGAACUUGUGUCUCUCUGGGAUUCAAGAUGAUCAAUCUGAGGAGAAGAAGCUGUUGUUGUUGGAGAAGCAUUUGAAUCGCUGUGCUGAUGCAAGAAAAUUUGGUGAUUGGAAGAGGGCGCUUAGGGAAUCAGAAGCAGCCAUUUCUGUUGGAGCAGAUUUUUCGCCUCAGUUGGUAGCGUAAAAUUUUAGGAUUGUUGAGGUGUGAUUGAUUUCUGUUUCCAAAAGCUGUUUGGAGUUUUCAAAAUGCAACUAAACAAGGUUGCUGAGAAAGCUGGUGGAGGGUGUGGUGUGAGAGUGAGACUGAUGAUGUGCGCUUCAAGAAGAGUCCUUGUGGCUCUGUUGAUGGGGAUGCUAAGAAGAAGCCUGGUCAUGCUGUUUCCAAGGGGCAUAAGAAUUAUGAUUUGAUGCUUAAUCUUCAACUGGGUAUUAGGUACUCUGUUGGGAAGCAUGCUUCGGUUUUGAGAGAGCUUAGGCCUGGGGAUUUCGAUCCCAAGGAGAAAUUCUAGACGAGAUUCCCACUGGAGGGUUCUAAGUUUACACCUCCACAUCAGUUAGUGGACUUCAGGUGGAAAGAUUACUGUCCCAUGGUGUUCAGGUAUCCAUAUGAAAUGAGAGAAGCAUUUUUAAGAGAAAAAAUAUAAUAAACUUUUCUAUAAGCUAAAAUUAGUUUAUGUAUUUGCGGAUUACAUGCUUGCUAUUUUCAGCGAUGACACACUGAGGGAGAUGUCUUCUCCGGGUAGGAGCUAAUGUCCCAACAGAAAGUUUUGAUUUGUCACCUAUUGACCAGAUUUUUGUUUGAAUGGGGGCCAAAGAUAAUAUAAUGGCUGGCCAAGGUACAUUUUUAACUGAGCUUUCAGAAACUGCACCAAUGCUGGUAAGUUGUCCCUUUGAGUAUCAACUUGUAUCACUGGUAAUUAAGGUUUAAUAGGCAUAAAAUUUGGCUGCUCUCAAGUCACUAGAAAGCACCUGUGAAAUAGUUGUAUUUCAAGUGAUGUUUUCUUCUUUUGAAUAUGAACAAGAUUAUUUGGUUUAUGAUAGACUUUUUUCUCU